GAUCUCUUAGAUGUUCUUUAACUUAGAAUUUUUUUAAAAUAUUUAAGUGGAGUAAUACGCUUUCGUUUUUUAAGGUAUCUAGUUUAUUUUAGAUAAAAGGGAAAACUUUUUAUUUUUUUUUCUGUUGUUAGUUGAUUGUGUUUUUUUUAAUAGUAAGUAGUUGUGUAAUAACUUAUUUAUUUUUAAGGGAAAUUUAUUUUUUUUUAUUAUGUAAACAAUUAAUUAGUGGAUUAGUAGAAUUUUGUUAUUUUUAUUUUAUUUUUGAUUAGAUUAAGAAUUUUAAAUUAUUGUUAUUUACUGAUUUUUUCUUAGACUGGUUAAUAAAAUCUUAGCUACAAACUUUGUAGUUAUUUCUGCUCUAUGCAAAAGUAAAUGGCUGUUGUAAACACUAAGGUAGCAAAGUCAUUAGUUAUUUAAUUGGUAACUUGUAUGAAUGAAUUUUCUAGGAAAGUAUUAAUUUUUUGUUUGAAUUUAUAAAUUUGUUGAGAAUAACAAUUUUUCCUAUAAGACUAAAAGACCCUAAAAUUUUUAUAACUGAAGUUUAAAAGUUAUUUGGUUGGGGCAACAAUAGAAAGUUAAUAUUGAGUUAUUUAUUUUUUUCUGAACUUUUAUUAUUGAUAGAAUGGGAAAUACUUUAGGGAUAACAGCUUAAUUAUUUCUAAGAGUUCUUAUCAUUGAAAUAGUUUUAGACCUCGAUGUUGGAUUGGAGUGGCAUUUUGGGGCAG
rnacentral:rRNA from 1 species